CAUACCAAGAGGAGGUUUUUGAUUGUUAGCUUUGUUUUGGCUUAUAAAAUCAAUAACUUUGUUUACAUAUAUUGUAGUCUAAGGCUGAGGCUAAGGUAUAUCUAUACUAUUCUUACGACUGCCGCAGUCCUUAUCUUCAUUGUUUUAUCUUUUCUUAUUAUAUAUGUUAGCUGACAUGUAUAAAUAUUUGUUUAAUGUGGGACUAAGAGUAGCUUAAUAUAUGACCAUUAGACCCUCAGUGAUAGAUUUUGUAGGGUGCAGGUAACUUAUACCUUUUCUUGAAUCAUUUAUGAGUGUAGAUUUGGUGGUAUCUUGUAAUUUUUUACCCAAGAUAAUGGUUUUAUAAACUUGUUGGAGAUGAAAACUAAGUGUAAUGAAUUUGCAUUUCUAGGAACACUCAAAAGUUGCUUUAAUGGAUUUAUUUCCAGAUGGUGAUUUUGCUAAUUUGUAUCUUGGUGUUUACUAUAUUUUAGGACACAAGUAUGAAGCCUCGUUGAUUGCUAUCAAAGUUAGAUUGUUAUCUAAUCAGUUUAUUUAUUUAUUUAUUUACGAUGAGUACUAAAAUGCAAGAAAAAAAUGAAGUAAAAGAAAUGCAUUAUGAGGAUAAAUUGGUUUUAAUAGAUGAAUACUAUGCACUUUUCUACGUAUUUCCUUGCAAAAUAACAAUUCGUGACGAACCAUUUGAAAAACAUUCAUAUGAGGUAUAGAAAUAGAUAAUUCCUUCAUUAAUGUGUAUAUUUCCUUAUAUUGCAUACAAGAAAAAAAAAUUUAAUCUUAACUCUAUAUACAACCUUUCGUGUACAUCUUAUUAUCAAUUCAACAUCUUUUUCAUUCUAAAAAAGAUAUAAUUUUUGAUGUAAUAUAUAUAUAUAUAUAUAUAUAUAUAUCUUAAUUUAUUCUGUGUAAUAAUGACCUAAUUUUAUCAUGUUACAGGCUAUCACGACAUUACUCGCAUGAAUAAUGGUCAUCGAGGAUGGAGAAACCACCAUUUAUUGUUCAAUAUAGGCUUGGUACAAAAUAUCGUUAUCUUAAAGAUAAUGGUCAUUACAAAGAAAGAUAAUCAUGUAACAUUGUCCACUAUAAGAGGAAGACAAUUUUCUAGAAAAUAUUUCAAUUGUCACCUUUGAGGCACCCAAAGAUAGUUCUUCUACAAGGAUACUCUAUAUAGUAUGGACAAACGUUUUUACUAUUGGGUUCCUAUGAAAAAGAUAAUAAUUGGUCAUUUUCAUAACUUUAAUAAAAAAAUAGUUAUUCUACAA
rnacentral:lncRNA from 1 species